GGUAGCUGUUCUGAGAGGACGAUCAGCCACACUGGGACUGAGACACGGCCCAGACUCCUACGGGAGGCAGCAGUAGGGAAUAUUGCGCAAUGGGGGAAACCCUGACGCAGCAACGCCGCGUGUGGGAUGACGGCUUUCGGGUUGUAAACCACUUUCAGUGAUGACGAAAAUGACGGUAAUCACAGAAGAAGGUCCGGCCAACUACGUGCCAGCAGCCGCGGUAACACGUAGGGACCAAGCGUUGUCCGGAUUUAUUGGGCGUAAAGAGCUCGUAGGCGGUUUUGUAAGUCGGAUGUGAAAACUCAGGGCUCAACCCUGAGACGCCAUCCGAUACUGCAAUGACUAGAGUCCGGUAGAGGAAGAUGGAAUUCCUGGUGUAGCGGUGGAAUGCGCAGAUAUCAGGAGGAACACCAAUGGCGAAGGCAGUCUUCUGGGCCGGUACUGACGCUGAGGAGCGAAAGCAUGGGGAGCAAACAGGAUUAGAUACCCUGGUAGUCCAUGCCGUAAACGUUGGGCACUAGGUGUGGGACCUUCUAACGGGUUCCGUGCCGUAGCUAACGCAUUAAGUGCCCCGCCUGGGGAGUACGGCCGCAAGGCUAAAACUCAAAUGAAUUGACGGGGA
rnacentral:rRNA from 1 species